rnacentral:pre_miRNA from 1 species
ACAGGAACAUGACCUACGAGGUGAUAGACCAUGCGGCUGAGUCUGUCUGUCACUUCUGUAGGCCGACAUCCUGU